rnacentral:rRNA from 1 species
AGUGAACGCUGGCGGUAGGCCUAACACAUGCAAGUCGAACGGCAGCACAGUAAGAGCUUGCUCUUACGGGUGGCGAGUGGCGGACGGGUGAGGAAUACAUCGGAAUCUACUUUUUCGUGGGGGAUAACGUAGGGAAACUUACGCUAAUACCGCAUACGACCUACGGGUGAAAGCAGGGGAUCUUCGGACCUUGCGCGAUUGAAUGAGCCGAUGUCGGAUUAGCUAGUUGGCGGGGUAAAGGCCCACCAAGGCGACGAUCCGUAGCUGGUCUGAGAGGAUGAUCAGCCACACGGGAACUGAGACACGGCCCCGACUCUUACGGGAGGCAGCAGUCGGGAAUACUGGAGGAUGGGGGCAAGCCGGAUCCAGCCAUACCGCGUGAGUGAAGACGGCGCUAGGGCUGGAAAACCAUUUUGUUGGUAAAGAAGAGAAAUACUUUAACCCCCGACGGUACUGACGGUACCCAAAGAAGAAGCCCCGGCUAACUUCGUG